UUUGAAUGUUGCAGAGAUGGUUGGCGGCCGGAGGCAACAGAAGGGAGAAAGGUUGACCUACGCAGCAGCAGUCAGGACUUAAUUGUCAAGAAGUUAAGACAGAGUUAAGGAAGAUAACUGCAGAUGUGAUAAAGAUGCCAGGUCACUGGUUCCAGAAUGAUCUGGACAUAAAGAUGAUGGAGGCCAUAUAUUCUGGACGCGAACGGACCCUAGUGAUGUCCUGCCCAGCAGUCAACAAGCUCACGGACCUCUGGCCUGCUCUCAAAAUCGAAUCGGAGGUAAUAUGGCUCAGCUCUCUCUUUUAAAGUCAAUAUUGUGAUUCUUACUCAUUUGGCCGCUAUGUUCUGCUUCAUAAAUGUGUGAUAGAUUCUUCAAAUUGAACUAUUUUUAUGUGUUGUUGCUGUAUUAUCCUGCUGUUCAAUGUUCAAUGUAGCAUAUGCAGAGUUCCAGCAGAUUACAAAUCAGAACCUGCCCAACACAUUCUGUGCUGAGCUUGACUGCCAUCUUCCUCGACCGAUGGCCUUAUUCUGACAGAAGGCAUUACAAACUGGGAAGACAGCAGGUUCUCAGGCUGAAAUUUUAAAAAUCCACAAUGAACAGGUAAAUAGAUUAUCACACAUUUCAUAGGUUGAUCCAGUGCAACACUGAACAGGUUCAAUGAUUCAAAUGAGCUUUAUGAAUUUUGCAAUUAAGUAUUGGAUUUCAAUGGGACUUGGUUAAAGAAAGACACAUGAUAUGUCAUCUGUUCUGUUCCAUGUGUUAGUUUGUGAUUAAUAUCUCUUUUUCAUUCAUUCAUUGAGGAUGAGUCUGAUGAACCAGUGCUUGAUGGUGUUGCAGUGGGCCUUCUUACUGUCAUCAGUGAACACAUUUGGAAAAAUAGAAUCAGAGAAUUUUGAGUUUUUCUUCUUAAAAAGUUUGCAAAUAAUCAGUUAAUCUACUUCUUGCAUCCCUGUAAUUUAGUUUUUGUUCUAUUUAUUUUAAUUUAUAAAUGUUUAUUAUGUAUUUUUCUAUUCAAGUUUAAAAUUGCAGUGUGCUAAAAGGGAGUGGACAAGAAAAUACUGUUCAGUAGCAGAUGUUCAUGACUUUGAGAUACAUAAAGUUUG